GGCUACGUAGCUCCAGUUGAUUUGAGCACAUCACUCUCGCAAUGAUGGGGUCGCAGGUUUCCGGAAAUCCCGUCGUAGCCACCA
rnacentral:tRNA from 1 species